ensembl:lncRNA
CUUAUCCUGAGAGACUCACAGCAAAGAGCCUGGUUUGUUUGACAUUGUCAUUGUCAACGAUGAUUUGUAUGAAGCUUAUGAAAAUUUGCAAACAGGUGAGUCUAAAAUCCCUCACCUCAAAUUGAUCUUAAAGAAGUGAGUGUAAAAACCCACACCUCAAAGUGUUCUUUAAUGAGGUGAGUCUAACAACCCACACCUCAGUGUUCUUUAAUGAGGUGAGUCUAAUAACCCACACCUCAGUGUUCUUUAAUGAGGUGAGUCUAACAACCCACACCUCAGUGUUCUUCAAUGAGGUGAGUCUAAAAACCCACACAUCAAAUUGGUCUUACAUCGUACAUAUGGCUCGUUUACAGUGCUACCUGGGUUUGUAAUUGUUUAUGAGAGUUAAGCCUUUUCCUUCACAACAUCAAUUUCACAGUUAAUUUCAAUGUGUCAUUCCAUUUCUUAAUUUCUGGAUCAUUUUACCAUUUAAUAAGGCGUUUUAGGAG